UCUAGAACUCGUGGAUUUCUGCUGACACCGCUUGGACUGUGCACUACAUCUUGUCACACCUGUAAGUGCUUCACCUCCAUGCUGGGUCGAGUCCGGUGCAUCCGAGAACCAUUUGUCAUCGUUCAAGUGGCCUGGGAACGCCGGGGCGCAACGAGACGAUGGUAAUGGAGAACAUGUGGGUCGUAAGCGAAAAUAACGAGAAAAAGACUGUAAGAAUAAAUAGAGAGAAAAAUAAAUCACGGAAAGCGCUGAACGCUGAACAGCAGAUAGCCCAAAGAAUGUUCGAUGUUUAUUUCCAUAAACUCCGAAACAGACGGUUUACCGGAUUCGUAAACAGGUUACGGCUGUUCGGCUCCAUGAUUUCGCCGCACCGCUGCCAAGAAUUAACUCCUCAGCAGAGUCUCCCUGUCAGCGUUGAUGAGAAAACAGGGCAUUGAUAUUUCUGCAGGACACUGAAGAAUUGAGUCCAUCUGGAAUAUCUCUCUUUGUCUUGCUUAUAAGCUGGGAAAGUUCUGGAUGAUGGAGUUAGACAUGUAUUAUACACAUGGCGACUAACAAAAUCUAGCGACGGGUCACGUUUGUGUUCCACUGGAAAGGGAAACAAACAAAUUUUCUUCGUACACGCCCAGACUCCGACUGACUGACAGUUUCCUAAAGGAAUGCCGCGGAUCCUCUGGAAAUUGAAAGAAACAUCUUCUUCACGUUGCUGCGAAAUUACUUCAAGAAAGUAGAAUCUUGGCCUAGGAAGACGUUGAUGAUGACAAACUGGUAGCUAUUAGCAUCAGCUCUCCGAUUCCCCAUGGUGAACGCUCAGGGGCACAUGCAUGUGCACGAUGGAGCAAAUGUUGUCAAAUCUGGAGGGAAGCCUUCCGGAAGCCAUAGUGGGGUUAAGGAGAGUAACCUUGACCACAUGGGUACCCUUUAGCUCUCUGCUAACCCCACCAACGACGGCCGGCUAUGGUGAUUGAUUACCGAGGAAACUUUUCUCCGCUUACAGAUGCGUGACAACCUCAGA